rnacentral:ncRNA from 1 species
GUGUCGUUCGCGACGAAAAGGGAAUUCGGAAAGCCGAAGCGGUCCCGCCACUGUAAGGGGAGUCUUCGCCGAUAAGGCCACUGGAACGGGAGUUCUGGGAAGGCGGCGAGAGAUGAGGAACCUGAGCCAGGAGACCUGCCCGUCU